rnacentral:lncRNA from 1 species
AUAAGCUAUUGGUCUCCAGAGAUAUGGGCCUUAAUACUCUUUCACCUAUUGGGCUUGUAUGUGAACAUAUUAUUUGGAUUAUAUUAUAACAAAAUAUCCAACAUGAACAUAUUAUUUGGAUUAUAGAUAACAGUAUAUCCAAUAACAAUAUAUCCAACAAUCUCCUCCUAUGUUCACCAUACAGCACAAUCCAAUACAGUGGUCAGUGUAAUGUUCAAACAAUUAUGAAUCUUCCACAUUCAGUCCAAGACAAUCAACUCAGAUUAAGAACUCAAUCAUCAAUUGUAAUUCAAAUGAGUGAAUCAUUCUUAUCAUGAAUCUGUUCUGAGAUCGACAUAUUUAAAAUGAUUCUCAAAAUCAGUUCACAACUAACAUAUGCAUAACAAUCAAAUAUAAGUAGGCCAGUCAAAAUAAUCCAAGGCCUUACAAAUAAAAGAGAAGACAUAAUAAUAUUCACAAAUAGAGAUAGCCAAAAGCAAGUCUUAAGUAAAUGGACUCCAUCAAAAUAGGUAAUAGUAGGUGAACUGUCAAGUCCCCGUACACUCUAAAUGAUAUAUAUAUAUAUAUUCAUUCAUCAAAUAGAUCAUCCUGAUCUGGAUCUCACUUAUUAAGCUCUCCUCCAUCCCUGCCAUCCUCUGUAGAAUAUUAAAUAUAAAUUUCAUAUUAUCAUGAAUUUAAUCAUUUGAAUAAUCCACUAAAAAUGUCUAGUUCUACUAAAAGAACUUAGCAUCAUAACAUCAGGCAGAGA